GAUGAAGAACGCAGCGAAAUGCGAUAAGUAAUGUGAAUUGCAGAAUUCAGUGAAUCAUCGAAUCUUUGAACGCACCUUGCGCCCUUUGGCUAUUCCGAAGGGCAUGUCUGUUUGAGUAUCAUGAACACCUCAACUCUCAUGGUUUGCCAUGAUGAGCUUGGACUCUGGGGGUCUUGCUGGCCCAUUUGGUCAGCUCCUCUCAAAUGAAUCAGCCUACCAGUGUUUGGUGGCACCACAGGUGUGAUAACAAUCUACGCUUGAGGUUUUCCACCAGGCAACCUUCAGUAAUUGGGGUUCACUGGGGCUCACAAAUGUCUUUCUUCAGUGAGGACAGCUCUUUGAAUGUUUGAUCUCAAAUCAGGUAGGACUACCCGCUGAACUUAAGCAUAUCAAUAAGCGGAGGA
rnacentral:misc_RNA from 1 species